CAGUAAAGAUCUUGAUCUGGUGGUCUGAGCUGUGUCACCUUUUUUUAAGAGAGUUUAAAAGUCAUUUGCUUUGCUAUGAAAGUGAAUUAUGUGGUAUUAAGUACUGCAGUAGCACCAUUAAACAUUAUAUCAUCAAUCUUUUUAAGAUGUGGAAAGGUCAGUGUCCCAAAGGCCAUUUUUUAAUUCCCUUUUUAACUCCAAGCUGAAAGCAGUUUUCAUUGUUUCUUUUUUCCUACAACUGAUAUAAUCCUCCAAAAAAUAAAAGCCUCCCAGUACCUCCUAGGCAUAUUCAGCCCAAAUCCAAACAUUAUGGAGAUUGUCUUUAGAAUAUAGACAGAGAUUGUCUUUAAAACACAAACAAAUGAAUGGGACUGUCUGCAAAACUGAAUAGUAAUGUUAGUUAUCAUCAGGUAGCUAAGAUGUACCCACAAUAUUAAAAAUUCCUAGAAGUCCUUGGAUUUAUAACUAGUAGAAAUAUAUUGUGUAGUUGCUUAUUCAGUAUAAUUAAACUCUCUAACAUGUAAUUUUAGGAAUAAACACAAUAUCGAAUUUUUUAUUCUUUUAUAGAAAUUAUUAUUUGUGUUUGUCAAGAUACUUUUGGGGAAAAAUGAAGAAGAGAAAAAUAGAAAAAAGACUUUCUUUUAGUUCUACGUCAGUCAGUAUUCCAACCGAAAAAUAAACUUUUCUGCUUUGAGUACUACAUUUAAAAUAACUUAUAUUUAAAGGCGUCCUGGUAGAAAUGAUCCUUAUUCUUCCUGUAUUGCUUUGAUCAGUUAAAGAAACCAUAUCACAAGAGAUAUUCCUAGUGUUUUGUUAUCUUCAGGAUUUUUGAAUACCUUUUGUGUAUUUCUGUAUUUCAGAAAGCCUGUUUCUAAAAAUUCUAAAUGGUAAAUUCACAUUUCAAUACCUGAUCAUAGAAGCAUUUCUUGUUUUGAAAAUGACAGGGUUGGCACAGAUGAUUUAAAUAUAACAUUAAGAAUGUCAGAACUGGCAAUGCCUUACUAAAAAUUCCAAGAUAUUUAACUAACAAAUGCAAAAGUGUUUAAAGAAACGUGGUAUGUGAUAGUAAAAUCUAAGAAGUGAAAAAGAGAAUAACUUUAUACAAGCCAGAUUAAUCUAUUCACUGUCCUGAAGCUUAUUCCAUUCUCCUAAAUUCAAUGCGUUAUCCCUGAUUAAAUUUACUCAUCCUGAUUUUUUUUUUUUUUUUUUUUUUUGGCCUUUUUGCCAUUUCUUUGGGCCUCUCCCGCGGCAUAUGGAGGUUCCCAGGCUAGGGGUCUAAUCGGAGCUGUAGCCCCUGGCCUACACCAGAGCCACAGCAACGCGGGAUCCGAGCCGCGUCUGCAACCCACACCACAGCUCACGGCAACGCCGGAUCGUUAACCCACUGAGCAAGGGCAGGGACCGAACCUGCAACCUCAUGGUUCCUAGUCGGAUUUGUUAACCACUGCGCCACAACGGAAACUCCUCAUCCUGAUUCUUUUAUGUAGUCUGUUGAUAUCAGUGUUUUUAGGUCUUUUUGUUGUGGAAAUUCUAAUUGUCAUCUGUUCAAAUACAGGUUGUUCUUUAUUCAGUCCCUUUGGGAUUUCAGUUGGACAUGUGCUACUUAUUUCUCCUUUCCCUAUAUUUAUUUCUCUUUCAUAUGUUAGCAUUGACUUGUCUCUCUGUUCUGCUUUUGCCUAAUCUUCCAGUUCACUAUUUCUCUCUUCCCUUAGAUCUACUCUACCUUCUGCCAAUCUAUUUUAGUUUUUACGUUAUUUUUCAUUUCUAAAAGUUCUAUUUGAUUCUUUUAACGUGUAGUCAUUUUAAAAAUAAUAUCUAGUUCUUAUGUAAUUUUCUGUACUUUGUUAAAUAAGUGUUAAAUUUUAGUCUAUUUUCUGCAAUUGGUAGUUCAUUUAAAGUCCUUAGGACUUUAAAUAUUUUCUGUGGGUAUUUUUCUGUUGGUUAUCACACCUGCACACUUAAGUUCUCAUAUAUUUGCAGAUUUUGACUGUGAACUCAUGUAUGUUCACAGUCUGUGACCGUGAACUUAAUAUGAAGGAAUACCAACAAUCUAAGUAGGGAUCAUUUUAUUCAGAGAAGAACUGUGUUUUCUGCUAGAAGCUAGGGCAUAUCACCAGUCUGAAAUGAUCAUGGAGUUCUUGCUAAAUGCACAUGACCCAAAUGGCAAUCACCAAUUUCUGGUGGGACCCAGGCUUAAUCUCUACAUUUCCUUGUGAUUAUGAGCAUUUUUCCCCAAAGCAGCCUAGCUUUAGUAUUUUCCAAGUGCUGUUGGGUUUAUCUACUUUGUUUUCAAAAAUUCUCUUUCAAAAAGAACAUUCUGUGGAAAAACUGAAUAAUCUGUUUCAGAAAGACUUGAUAGUAAUAUGUACAAAAUACAAGGGGAAAAAAUUUUAUUAAACUGGUAUGUCAUGUCUGUUUCUUCAUGCCCAUAAUGAAAGUGCUAGACUAUCAUUGAAGUGAUAAAAUUGCAUAAGGAGUAUUUAGAUGUAACAUAGAGUGUGUUGAGACAGAAAUAAUUAUUUGAUUAAGAAGAAUUCUCUAAGCACUGUUAGCUCCAUAGUUUUACCCACAUUAGACACCACAAUGCCGACUCAAAUAGGUAGAACUCCCAUGGGCCAUUUAUCUAAAUUUAUUUGUAACUAAAGAGAUUCUUUAGCGUGGAGACUUAUACAGCAUUUGUUGAGAUUAUCACUGUAAUGAGAAAAACACAUCUCUAUGGAUAUGGUUAAAUAAACUCUAGACUGCCUUCUUUCCAUAACAUCAGUAUUUUGUGCUGGCAGUUAGCUCUGGCCUUGAGAUGGAGGCUGUCCAGAACACCUGGUGACCAAGAGCCUCUUUCUCCUUGCGAUCAGAGCUGAAAAUAGGUUCCUGCAUUUUCUCAGCAUCAUGCAUUUACUGUGUAACAUUAAGCUCUUCCCUGAACACAUUAUAGCUUAAUUACUUGCUGAACAAUAUCACAACAUACCAGUUAUAUAAGAACUCGGGGGGGAUCUCAAGUGGAGUUCACACCUCAUAGGAAAGGAAGCUGUGGUCGGCCCUUGCUUCUUCCCAUUGCUAUUACUCUGACAUCUUGUGUUAAGUGCUGUUGUCCUUGCACAGUUUAAAGUGCAACUUCCACUUCGUGGUUUCUGGGAACUAAGAAAGAUUUUCAUUAUGGAGAAGGAGAGAGAAAAAGUGCUUACCUUCCCCUCUCACCUCCAAAAUUGAAUAACAUAUAUUUUGAGGGGAGAUAAAGAAGUUCUAUGCCCUGAAUUAAUUGUAGACCCAUAUAGCUCUUAGAAAUAUGGUCUACAAACAACUGAAAACAUGAGUGCAGAUUAGUGUUACUAUAGAAUUAUAAGAAUGGGGAAAUAUAAUCUGUCCACAUGUUUACUAUUUCUUAGGUAUUUCAGUAUCAUACAAUUUGGUAUAGUUAGAGUAACCAAGCUUUUUUAUUUUGUAGAGGAAAAAAUUGUUUCUAUGUUUAUUAAUGCAGCCAUUUCUUAUGCUUGGUCAGUAGCAGAGAUGAGCCAGAGUCAGUUUUCUUGUUUUCGUCUUGAAUGUUUUCCAGUUUUUUACCCUAUGCGACAUUGUCUGUCACUUUCACAUUCUACAGUUACAUCUUGUUUGAUUUUUCACCUAAAACAUUGAGUUUUAUGCCCCAUUUUUAAUUUCAAAUAAACCUUUCUUCCUUAAAUAUUCCAUAGGACCUGCUUUACUGAUUGAAAUAAUUUAGGGUUAAGUUAUGAGUGCUUUUGGCUAGUCAAGGACACUUAUCCAUAAUUUUUGAUACUAUUUAAUUGUUUUUAGAAUCAUCAAUGAAAAUGAAUCUCUACAGUGGAGUGUGUGUUAAUAUUGAUUGUGUGUUAUUUCUUUAUCACUCUGGGUAUUACUUUCUCACUUCCUCUACCCUUAGCUGCUUUUCUAUGGAGAAAGUCUUAGCCUGAAAAGUCAAAAAGUGAACAAAAGUCAUUAGCUCAGGUUUUGAUUAAUAUACUGCAAAGUGAGAACAACUUUAAAAUGAGUGUUUGGCAGAGAGCAAGGAAUUUAAAGAUUUUAUACAACUAAAUGGAACUGAUUAAUUGAAGUUCCAUUGGUUACUAUUCAAAUUCUCAGAAGUUAGAGGGCGCUUAUUUAUUUAUUUUUUUUAAACUACUUGGGUAGUAGUUUAAAGGGCUUAGCUUGGAAAUUGGAGUUUAGUAAAAAGGCUAAGGAGGAAAAAUUGUGGGCUGAGUUGUCUGACUCAGUGGGAAAAAUUUGUUCAGAUAUGAAACACAUGCAACCCAUUUUGGAACUACUCUCUUCCUCCUUGAAAUUUACAGACUACCACCCUUCAGUUUUAAGUUCACCAAAAGAAAGAUUGGGUUUGGAUAGGAAAACACCAAAGAAGAAUCUCUUUGUGAACAGCCUGAAGAUUUAAAUAGGUGGAGUGGUCUCUACUUAUAACCAUUUAAUAAAUUUGAUAAAUAAAAUUGAAGUAUUGAUCCUUAUUGAUACAUAGUGAGCCUAGUAGACUCCCCAAAUUGAUAUACAUUACCGAAGAAAAAGACUUUAGCCUCAAGGUGAAAUAAAUACUUAGAAGUAAUCUGAUAAGUAGGGGAAAGAAAGGAAGGGAAAAGAAAAAGAAGUAGAAAAGAGGAAGAAAUAGUCUUUUAUAUUCUAAUAUUCUGAUAUAUUCAAAUAUUAUCACCUACGUUUUAAGUUUUAAAGGACUUAAGGUGAAACUUUUGAAUCUUAUAUCGAAUCGUAGCAAUUUAGGUCAAGAGUGCAACACUUCUCCUGCCUUCUUUCUUAAAUAGUUAUUUUGAUGGAGAAGGUAGUUUGUGUCCUUGAAUUUAGUUUUAAAAUCCUGGAUCAAAGAAGAGAUAUUAUAAUCAGGAAAUUUUAAAAGUUUUUCUUUUACAAUGGUACUUCUGAUUAUUUACUUCAGAACUACUUAUCUGAGACAUCACUUCCUAUAUUUUAAGAAUUUCAACCUUGCCCAAGGAACUAUAUCUGAUCACUUGUGAGGAAACAUGGAGGAUAAUGUGAAAAAAAAAAUGUAUGGGGAGUUUCUGUCGUGGCUCACUGGAAACAAAUCUGAUUAACAUCCAUGAGAACGCAGGUUAAAUCCCUGGCCUUGCUCAGUGGGUUAAGAAUCUGGCAUUGCCAUGAGCUCUGGUAUAGGUCGCAGACACGGCUGGGAUCUGGUGUUGCUGUGGCUGUAGUGUAGACCCGCAGCUACAGCUCUGAU
rnacentral:lncRNA from 1 species